GGAGGGCUGGCCGAAUGGCUAAGGCACCGGUCUUGAAAACCGGCGGGCGAAAGCCCUUACAGGUUCGAAUCCUGUGCCCUCCG
rnacentral:tRNA from 2 species